AUUGAACGCUGGCGGCAUGCCUUACACAUGCAAGUCGAACGGUAACAGGUUAAGCUGACGAGUGGCGAACGGGUGAGCAAUGUAUCGGAACGUGCCCAGUCGUGGGGGAUAACUACUCGAAAGAGUGGCUAAUACCGCAUACAACCUGAGGGUGAAAGCGGGGGACCGUAAGGCCUCGCGCGAUUGGAGCGGCCGAUAUCAGAUUAGCUAGUUGGUGGGGUAAAAGCCCACCAAGGCGACGAUCUGUAGCUGGUCUGAGAGGACGACCAGCCACACUGGGACUGAGACACGGCCCAGACUCCUACGGGAGGCAGCAGUGGGGAAUUUUGGACAAUGGACGCAAGUCUGAUCCAGCCAUGCCGCGUGCGGGAAGAAGGCCUUCGGGUUGUAAACCGCUUUUGUCAGGGAAGAAACGAGUUUCUCUAAUACAGAGACUUAAUGACGGUACCUGAAGAAUAAGCACCGGCUAACUACGUGCCAGCCGCCGCGGUAAAAC
rnacentral:rRNA from 1 species